AACCCUAAUAUAUAUAAGAGUUUUCUUAAUUUACAAGAAAAUAAAAUAAUAUCCUAAAACAGGUUGGAUUCUGAUGCUGAAAUUCGUAGGCUUCUGUUCAGGCCUGAUUCUGGGUUGAUCCAGUUGGAUUUUGACAUCUGGACCACCUUAAACUUGUAGAGAAUUUCAAUAUCUUCGCGUGGGCUGUUGAAUCGCCCAAUUCUGACGUCCAGAACUCAAGUUACGGCCCAAACAAGAUUUGAUUCGCUGGCUAACCAUAAAGUCCGAAUUUUCAUCUGAUUAAGCCCAAAUAAGCUUGAUUUAAUCCAACUUUAGGAAUAUUUAUUUUCCUGAAAUUAAACACUUAAAAUCAAUUAGUAACAUCCCGAUUAUUUACAAAAUACUAAAAAUUAUGGGAAUAAAAUCAUAUAAAAACAUAUAUAAAUAUAUGCUCUAUCAAUUAUCCCCACACUUAGUCUUUUGCACGUCCUCGGGCAAAUAAAAUAAAUAACACUAACACCUAAUAGAUAUAUACCACUUCCGUAGGUGAUCACGGUUGCAUUUGGCAUAUGCAACAAGCCCUUUAAACCCCUAGGCAGCCCUAGUGGACGAGUAAGGUCUCGUGAGGGCCUAUAGCGAAUGUACCCACAAAAUCCAUCUAGCUCAUGUAAUAAUAAUAUAGAUGACCACAAGAACACAAGCAUGGAGUGCAACUACAUGAAUGCAACUAAUAAAUGUAAAUGUAUUGAUCCCAAUAAUAAUAGUAUAUUCCAAGUUAGUGAUAACCAUCAGAAUAUGCAACAAGUUUAGACACAUCAAGCUCACACCGCAAUAAAACCACUUAGUGAACACAAGUACAGAGUGUGCGUGUGUGCCUAGCUUAACAACAUGCUCUUCUUUGAAUCAAGAACAGAGACACACAAGUUUCAACAUGACUAGUCAUGCGAGUUAAUAGCUCCCAACUUGAUUACUAGAAUAGAUCUUAAACACUUCGUUACUUAGAACCAGCUAUCAUUCAAGUUUACAAGGGAUUUCUAUGUCUUCUUUUUAUUUCUAUAAUACUACUAUAUAUAAUUUUUUAUUCUUUUUUUUUUUACAUGCUUGGUCUAAGGUUGGGACGCUCCUUAGUAUAAGUAAGUUACGACCACCAAAAGACUUCACAAGCUCUUUUUUUUUUCUUUUUUUUAAGUCAAGUAAUUCUCCAGUAAUCAAGGAUAAUGAAAAGUCACCAAGAAAAUUAUAUUUCUAGUACAAUUGCACUUAAUACCAGCACAAGUACAUGGGUCGUCCCUUUCAUUUUCGCCACCCAUUGAUCUCAAAGGAGUGCUUGAUACUUUAUUUCUUAUUUCUUUUUUUUUUUGAAGAAAACAUUUACACCCCACAAUCACCUCAAACUCAAGCAUUUACGUACUAAGCUCAAAAGGGAAUAGUCAAAAUUCUAAUCAUCAACAAGCGGCUACCCCUCAAGAAGCAAGUAUAUCUAAGUCUCAAUUCAAUAUUUAAGAGCAAAAUAAGCUUGUGUCAAUAAAUAAGCUCUGCACUAGUGACACUACACAUGUAACAUCGCUAAUAUGUGAUCAUAGCAAAAAUCAAUCAAAAACAAGCUACACAUAGUAUCAUCAUAGGUUACUAACUUGGACUAUUACAUGGGAUCAUGCUAUGUUAUGUCAUGCAAUGAAACUAACAUGUAAUGCAAUUAUAUGAACUAAUGUAUGCAAUGUAUGAGUGUUUAUCCUAGCAUGAUAUGAUCAUCUAACUAUUUUACAAGGCUAGAAUUAUUUUUGAUUUUUAAAUUUAUAAUUUUGUUUGUCUUUUUUUUUUUAAUAUUAUAACAUACUAUUGAGAACACAUCCCCACACUUAAAUGAGUCAAUGUCCUCAAUGACACACUAAUACUCCUCCUAUAAAUAAAAGAAAAGUAAGAAUACUCCCCUAUGCAUACGCAUGAAGUGCCGUUUGAAAAAUAAGCGAAGUGUGUUGCCUCUAAGUCGAUGCACCGCGGGCACCUUAACCAUGCCCAUGGUGCAAAUCAUUCUGCCCGGACUUCAUAAACUGACCUUCUGGACCUUAAAAUCCGAUCUCCACCGUUCAGAAUUUAGAUAUUAGUGUAAGGAAGAUGCUGUCCAAAAUUCAGGACGAUCCGACCGUUGGAACUCCGGGAAACGCAAAAACAAGGCAGCUGAUGCAACCAGAAAAAUGCUGCGAAUUUUUGAUUUUUAGCACCUGAAACAGCCACUUCAAACAAACACAUCAAGGUAACUUGUGGGAGUAAAAAAAAUCAAAAUAUACUUAAUAUAAUAAUCAUGGGUUGCCUCCCAAGAAGCGCUUGUUUAUUGUCAUUAGCUCGACUUAUUCACAUACAAGUAACAAAACUAAUGAGGUGAAAAAGCAAAUAAGUGCACAUAUCUGCGAAUCUGUAUUGCAAUCAUAAUGUGCAAAUAAACCUUUGAUUCAUUAAAUUUUAAGAAAAAUUUUAUGAACCUCACAUGCUCAAGAGACCUGAAAGAAUCAAAGUAGCUAGAAAAGUCGUCAGAAUAAUCAUCAUAAAUAUGACUCAUAAACUCCUCCCAAAUUGGAUCCUUAUAAUCUAAAGCAAAAUCAUCAAUUAGCACAUCCUUCUCAAUUAGAAUUGCAUACUCAUCAAUUUCUAUCUCGUCUACCAAUUCAUUAAGCACGACAUUAUCAACAAAAUCUGGUAGAACUUCAGUUGCAUCCAAUUUGUCAUUAUUAAGCGCGGGACAAUUAUCAUCUAAGCAAGUAGAUUCAUUAGACACAGAUUUUUCAUGAAUUGCUAAAUAAGUAUCAUGACAAAGUGGAAAAUCGACACAAGGAGAAAUCCUAAAACAACCAUUAUGCAUCACAAGUUGAACUUCCAUAAUAAAAGUAUUUCUUUUAGCAUUCUCCUCGUACCAACUUAUCGAAUCUUGACAUAUUAUAUCAGUCAUAUUAGCAAGUUCAAAUUUUGGUUCAUCAAUAUGGUCAAAAAGUCCCAAAGAUAUUAAAGAAGGAUUAUAUUGAAUUAAGCUUUUAUCAACAUCAUAACAUGGAUAAGGAUCAUAACAUUGAUUUUCAGAUGCAUAUGAAAAAUCAGUGUUAGGUGGGUAUGGAGGAUAAUAUGAGUUGCAACAAUCAAACGAGUUCACCUGAUACGCAUUAAAAUUCUGAAAAGAAUUAUAAUCUUGAUAUCGUUCUUGAUCAUUGUGAAAAUUCUGAGCGUUAUUCCAACCAAAAUUGUAAUCCAUGUCGUCUUUUUAUCUCACAACUUUUUGGUGUCAACCUCAAAGAACCUGUAGACACACCAAAAACAACAAAAGAAGGGGAAAAAAUAAUAAUAUACAACAAUAAAAUCAAAACCACAAGAAAUAAUUAACCUAAAAUCAGUAUUGCUGCCUUCCCCGGCAGCGGCGCCAAUUUGUUGUCGAGUAUUUCUAUGAGUAUCGUUCGCAGGGAAGGACUGAUAUUAAUACCAAUUUAAAAUCUUUUAUCUCUUGCAAUUCAGAAGUGUGGAGAAUAUAUUGAUGGUUUUUAUCUAUCAACUAAUUAAUAUAAUAAAAAAAUAAAUAUAAUAAAUAUGAGAGAAAGCAACCCAAGAAUUAGAGUUCUUCAAUGGCUAUCAUGAAUGUCUAAUUUGUGUCUCUUGUUUGCUAAAAACAAUCCUUCUAAUAUUAAUAAACUCCUCUCCCAAGGUAGAUUAUAAUGCUUACAAUUAUCCAUUAAAAGCCACUCCCAUGGUCAAUCAAAGAACACUUGUAAACUAUUAAGAACCAAGGAUUUUAAGUCUCACAAUUCUCAUAUCAAUCUCCCGAUCUAAUACUCAAAUUGUGUCCAUCAUAUCAUGUACUAGAAUUAUAACUCCUCUCCCGAUUCGUUAUAACUCCUCAAGAUUCAAUUAAAAGUUAGCUACUCUUCUAAUUGUAUAAAGCGCUCAAUGACAGAUUAACAAAUCAAGAGAAAACACAAUCCAACUAAACAAACAUAAUAAGCCAAAGAAUACUACCUAACUCAUGGAUCAAAGGAUUAGCUACUCAUGAAUAGAUGAAACAAAUAUAUAUUUAUACCACAGACCAUGAGUGUAAGAAUAUAAGUACGAAGAAUACAACUUGACGAAAGUGCUUGAAAUCCUGAUGAAUCGCUUCACUCCUUCUUUCAAUCUCUCUCACAAGUGUCUCUCUCCCUUUUCUCUCUAAAAAAGCUAUCUCUAUAUUAUUCUAUAUGAUACAAAGUUAGUUGUUUCUAAUAUCUAUCAAACCCUAAUAUAUAUAAGAGUUUUCUUAAUUUACAAGAAAAUAAAAUAAUAUCCUAAAACAGGUUGGAUUCUGAUGCUGAAAUUCGUAGGCUUCUGUUCAGGCCUGAUUCUGGGUUGAUCCAGUUGGAUUUUGACAUCUGGACCACCUUAAACUUGUAGAGAAUUUCAAUAUCUUCGCGUGGGCUGUUGAAUCGCCCAAUUCUGACGUCCAGAACUCAAGUUACGGCCCAAACAAGAUUUGAUUCGCUGGCUAACCAUAAAGUCCGAAUUUUCAUCUGAUUAAGCCCAAAUAAGCUUGAUUUAAUCCAACUUUAGGAAUAUUUAUUUUCCUGAAAUUAAACACUUAAAAUCAAU
rnacentral:lncRNA from 1 species